ensembl:snoRNA Gm26079 small nucleolar RNA SNORA49
CUUCCUCAGCCUUACUCCAGGGGCUUCUUGCCUGUAGAGUGCCCUGGCAUUGCCUGAGGAUAGAGGAGAAAGCACAGCUCCCUCCCUAGCAAGACUCUGCUUUCUUGUGGGGCCUACAGAUUGGGCUGACAGC